UUACACAAAACAGUGAGAAGAGCAUUGCCUUCACAUACCAUUCUACUGAACACUCUGAAAAUAUUGAAGGAGUCUGAGCUAAAGAAGUUCAAGGGCAAACUCCACCAUUUCCCCAUCAAGAAGGGCUUUGUGAAUAUCUUAAAAGGAGUUGCUGGAGGAAGCAAGUGUUUUGGACCUCAGCCAGCUGCUCCUUGUCUACUAUGGCCUGGAUUAUGCCUUGGAAGUGAUGGCCAAAGUUCUGGAAGCCAUCGACUGUGAGCCGCAGGCAGACAGAGAAGAUGACCUGGUCAUGCCCGCUGAUGUGGACAGAAUGGAGAGAGAGGUGGCAAAGGGCUAGGACUCCGUUCUGGAAGCAUUUCAGGUUAGUUGGCAUGAGGCAACAUUAGAAAUUUCCUUGGGAGGGAGAUUCAACUAGAAACAAGGAUGGACAAAUCUGUUACUGUGCUAACGUUUUGGGUGAUAAGUAAUAGUUUUCUGGUCAAUGUGGGGAGACUCAUCUUUGAAGAAAUCUUGGGUGCAAGGCCAGAGGGCAACCUAUCAGCCAGUUCAAGCUUCUGUAAGCUCAGCCAUUGGUCAUGCUUUGCAAGCAGAAAAUGUCACUAAGGCCAAGCAAUGGGGUACAGCUUGGAGAAAGAUGCAGAAUGGACCACAAAGACUAGAUCUAUUCUUGACAGUUAUUAAAGUGGUGGCAAAUCACAUCAUAGUUUCUUUUCAUUAUGGAUUAUUUAAGCAUGUUUUUCGGGCGGCAGAUGAGAGUCAGAUUGCAGAUGGCCGAGACGGUCGGUGAGGGCAGGAGACCAGGGGUGGGGAACCUCAGGCCCAGCUUGUAUCCUAACCAGAUUCUAAGGCUUUCUUCCCCUGAUGCGUAAAACAAAUUGGACAUUUCUGCGACAGGCCACUGGAAGGAGUCGCAAUCUCUGCUAAGAAGAUUAUCUGCAAGGGAAGAAAAUAAUUAAUUGAAAUUCUUGGAAGAAACAUUUUACAUGUGUUAUACUCUCACUAUAUUAUCACAUGGAAAGAAUACUGGGACUUGUUGGAAGCAGAGGAAGACUCCAAGGAGAAAAGUAAAAAAAUGCUGCGUAUGAUCCAGGAAAGGGGGGAGCAAGCUUGUUGCCGGUUCCUUGAAUGUGUAGAAAUGGAACAUCUGGGUUCCAUCCAGAAUGUGCUGCUUGCAAUACAUGGCUCAGGGCAAGAUCCAAUCUGGACUUCUGGCCACUUAGGGCUACAGUUAAAAUCCCCCCUGUUUGCAGAGGAUGGAAGGAGCAGGAAGAUGGAAAACCCAGCAGGUUCUGGGGAAAGUGACCGGGGUAGCUGGUGCCCCAGUGAGCAGCUUCCAGAAAAAAUCAAACCAGACGUGGUUUGGGACUCAGAAAGGGGUCACGAAGCAUACAGGUGAGUGAAAUCUCUCUUGGAUCUUUUAAGGAUUUCUCACAUCAGGAAACAGUUUCUACUGUGAAAUGAAUUUUGGGAUUCUGACCCUUUGGAAUCCUCUCCCAUUACACAUUGGACAGGUGACAUAGCUCUGAAGACCUUCUUCCUUCAAAAAGAGUUUAGAUCUUCAUCUCUCCACCUGCAUUGGAAGUACUUUC